ACAGCCUCUUGGCGGAGAUCGGGCGCGGCAG
rnacentral:misc_RNA from 1 species